rnacentral:lncRNA from 1 species
CAGGAGCCUCUAGGUUGUAUGUAACCCUAAAUGUCACCCUGGUGAUCUGGAGGACCCCAGGGCUCUGGCUGUUCCCAGCAUCUGAUAAGGGGUCGGCUGCUUAGGAUCUGGAGUCUUUUCCAGUUUGAGAACUCUGGGUUCAGAGGGACUCUCUCCAAGUAGAGGGAGAGUCUAGGCACAGUUUCUAACUUAAUGCCAAGAGCCCUGAUCCCAUCCUCAGCUGCCUCACAACUCCAGCAUCUGCCUCCUUCCCAGCCUGAGCCAGAGGAGGCUGCAGGAGCAGAGCUGAAAUCUCUAGGCAAGUGUUUUGUGGUGUCACAAUGGAAGGGGCCUGGGUCCCCUUUCUAGUCAAGGACUCUUCUGGGGCUUGGGGAAACAGGACACAUGUGCCAUUCUGGUUAGGACACGGAGUUCUCGCUUACCACCGGGAGAUGCAGGAGGACAGUAUCAGGCCACUGCAGGAGAUGGGUUAAGGAAGGACCACUCCAUCCGGGUCUGGGUCUGGGAAGCAGAAUCCCCAGGGCACAGAAGAGUUCCCUGCUCGGCCCCUCCCACUAACCUCACACAGAGGCCACCUCCUCCCUGCUCAGCAGCUCUGGCCUUUAUUCUAUGCACAACUCUCUAGGAGUCCCCAGGCCAGGCUGGAUGGUGGAAGCUCAGGAUUCCUGCAAUAAUGUUAAAGGGGAGGGGGUCUUAGAAACAAAGAUGGGGUGAGGAGAGCCACAGAAUGGCGGAGGAUAUUCCUCUUCAGACAGACAGACAGACAAAUCUAACAGGACUCUUUCCUUGCUCCUCUCCUGUCUCGUUCCUAAACCAGACAUAAGAAAGGGUCUGGGCAUCCCCAGAGCCCUGAGGAUUUUGUGGCUUGAGAACCUUUUCCCCUCCCCCAACAAAAAAAGGCCACCUUAAUAAGGUAUCAAUUUCACUACCUUAGAUUAAUAAGCUGAGUAGAUUACAGAUGCAUCCUAGUGAGGACUCACAUCAGCUUCCAGGUUACGUGUGAAGGACUUCUGCAUUCUAUCUUAGAUGGCUUAAUGCAGAAUACUCACGGCUGCCUGCAGACCCUUGGGCAGGGCCUGGAACCCCCAAAUUUGGCAUCGGUGGCUUAAUACCCAGUUACUUCCUAGUUUACAGAAGGGGCAGGCCCAGAGACGGGAGGCAACCUGCCCAAGCUCACACAGCAAGCUGGUGGUAAUCUAGGACUAGAGCCAUGGUCCCUUGGGAGGGGGAUCCCACCAGAACACCUUCACCUCUGAUACCUGCCACACGUCCACAGGAACCGCCAGCCAUGCCUAAGGGCCCGAUCUCCAUGUCAGCACAACUCCAGGUGACUCUUCCCGUGUUCUCCUUCCCUUCUGUGGUCAGUCCAAACUUCUGCCCGCUUCUUAGCCUACCCCUGGGCCCACUUCCUGGUAUUUACUACAUCUGUGCCAUUCCCAGCCCCACGGUCCAACUUGCCCUUUCAAGCUUUUCCUGGGCAGGGGAGGGGCCACACUGGGGCUUCUGUACCGAGACUUUUGUACACCACAGACUUUUUGUAUAUUUUUAAUUUUGCUGCGACAUGAAAUAUUAAAAGUCAUUUCAGUACACUC